rnacentral:misc_RNA from 1 species
GAUGAAGAACGUAGCGAAAUGCGAUAAGUAAUGUGAAUUGCAGAAUUCAGUGAAUCAUCGAAUCUUUGAACGCACCUUGCGCCCUUUGGCUAUUCCGAAGGGCAUGACUGUUUGAGUAUCAUGAACACCUCAACUCUCAUGGUUUGCCAUGAUGAGCUUGGACUUUGGGGGUCUUGCCGGCCUAUGGGUCGGCUCCUCUCAAAUUAAUCAGCUUGCCAGUGUUUGGUGGCAUCACAGGUGUGAUAACUAUCUACGCUUGUGGUUUUCCAUCAGGUAACCUUCAGUGAUGGAGGUUCGCUGGGGCUCAUAAAUGUCUCUCCUCAGUGAGGACAGCUUUUUUGAACGUUUGAUCUCAAAUCAGGUAGGACUACCCGCUGAACUUAAGCAUAUCAAUAAGCGGAGGA